UACGUAGGGUGCGAGCGUUGUCCGGAAUUACUGGGCGUAAAGAGUUCGUAGGCGGUUUGUCGCGUCGUUCGUGAAAACUUGGGGCUUAACUCCAAGCGUGCGGGCGAUACGGGCAGACUUGAGUACUACAGGGGAGACUUGAAUUCCUGGUGUAGCGGUGAAAUGCGCAGAUAUCAGAAGGAACACCGGUGGCGAAGGCGGGUCUCUGGGCAACAACUGACGCUGAGGAGCGAAAGCGUGGGGAGCGAACAGG
rnacentral:rRNA from 1 species